CUUAGAACAUCCAUCUUCUUGGCCUAUUGUUAGAAAGUUGUUUAUUGUGAGCUCAUAAAACUGUGAGGGGAUGGUCUUUGCUAGAGUUGCUGUAGAUGGAAAAUGAGAAGGGGAGGCAAGGAACAAGGAGGAGCCCACUCCCGCCCUGUAGGACCCUCCAUCAACAUAGAUGUUGGAAGAGUGGUUUAGCAAGCUCCAUUAGUCUGCAGUGGAGACACUUCUCGGGUCAACUCUGCCAGGAAGAUUUGUCUUCUAUUAGAACAAUAUCCUAACCUGCCGAGCAAGAGCAAGGUCCUGCAUUCAAUCCCUGGUACCCCACAUCAGAAAAACUAAAAUAAAAAAAAAAACAAUAUCCCGCACCCUCCAGUGUAUCUAGUGUUGCUUUGUCCAUUUUUCUCUGUUGAACAAAGUAGGCGAAUGCUUUGCAAGCCAUGUAAAUCAUUCCAGGUUCUUUCAAGGUUUCUGGCAUUGCAGAUCCACUUUUAGUCCCCUCCACACAUACAUCUGCCCCAUUAUCUUUGCCAGCCUCAUUGUAUUUUGCCACAGACUGGAGUUUCUGUAAAAAUCAUAGAGAAGGUGAUAAAUUAGGCUCUGGCUGUAAUUCCCUCCCACACCUUCAUAAGAAAUGACAGAUUCUGAAAUGCAUCGCGUUGGUACACCAUGCACUUCUUCCUGCAUAACAG
rnacentral:lncRNA from 1 species